rnacentral:rRNA from 1 species
GACGAACGCUGGCGGCGUGCUUAACACAUGCAAGUCGAACGGAAAGGCCCUGCUUUUGUGGGGUGCUCGAGUGGCGAACGGGUGAGUAACACGUGAGUAACCUGCCCUUGACUUUGGGAUAACUUCAGGAAACUGGGGCUAAUACCGGAUAGGAGCUCCUGCUGCAUGGUGGGGGUUGGAAAGUUUCGGCGGUUGGGGAUGGACUCGCGGCUUAUCAGCUUGUUGGUGGGGUAGUGGCUUACCAAGGCUUUGACGGGUAGCCGGCCUGAGAGGGUGACCGGCCACAUUGGGACUGAGAUACGGCCCAGACUCGUACGGGAGGCAGCAGUGGGGAAGAUUGCACAAGGGGCGGAAGCCGGAUGCAGUAACGCCGCGUGCGGGAUGACGGCCUUCGGGUUGUAAACCGCUUUCGCCUGUGACGAAGCGUGAGUGAGGGUAAUGGGUAAAGAAGCACCGGCUAACUACGUG